GAUGAACGCUAGCGAUAGGCCUAACACAUGCAAGUCGAGGGGCAGCAUAAGAGUAGCUUGCUACUUUUGAUGGCGACCGGCGCACGGGUGAGUAACGCGUAUGCAACCUGCCUACAACAGGGGGAUAGCCCGGAGAAAUUCGGAUUAAUACCGCAUAAAACAGGGGCUCCGCAUGGAGAUAUUUGUUAAAGAUUAAUUGGUUGUAGAUGGGCAUGCGUUCCAUUAGGUAGUUGGUAAGGUAACGGCUUACCAAGCCUUCGAUGGAUAGGGGAACUGAGAGGUUUAUCCCCCACACUGGUACUGAGACACGGACCAGACUCCUACGGGAGGCAGCAGUGAGGAAUAUUGGUCAAUGGGCGAGAGCCUGAACCAGCCAAGUCGCGUGAAGGAUGACUGCCCUAUGGGUUGUAAACUUCUUUUGUGCUAGAGUAAAAAAGGGGACGUGUCCUCUCUUGCAAGUAUAGUACGAAUAAGCAUCGGCUAACUCCGAGCCAGCAGCCGCGGUAAUACGGAGGAUGCGAGCGUUAUCCGGAUUUAUUGGGUUUAAAGGGUGCGUAGGCGGGNUAUUAAGUCAGCNGUGAAAGUUUGGGGCUCAACCUUAAAAUUGCCGUUGAAACUGGUUGCCUUGAGUGUAAAUGAAGUGGGCGGAAUUAGUGGUGUAGCGGUGACAUGCAUAGAUAUCACUAGGAACUCCGAUUGCGCAGGCAGCUCACUAAGCUACAACUGACGCUGAAGCACGAAAGCGUGGGUAUCAAACAGGAUUAGAUACCCUGGUAGUCCACGCAGUAAACGAUGAUUACUAGCUGUUUGCGAUAUACAGUAAGUGGCUAAGCGAAAGCGAUAAGUAAUCCACCUGGGGAGUACGCCGGCAACGGUGAAACUCAAAGGAAUUGACGGGGGCCCGCACAAGCGGAGGAACAUGUGGUUUAAUUCGAUGAUACGCGAGGAACCUUACCCGGGCUUGAAAUGCAGACGAAUAAAGUGGAAACAUUUUAGCCAGCAAUGGCGUCUGUGUAGGUGCUGCAUGGUUGUCGUCAGCUCGGGCCGUGAGGUGUCGGCUUAAGUGCCAUAACGAGCGCAACCCUCAUUGUUAGUUACUAACAGGUCAAGCUGAGGACUCUGACAAGACUGCCAGCGUAAGCUGUGAGGAAGGUGGGGAUGACGUCAAAUCAGCACGGCCCUUACGUCCGGGGCGACACACGUGUUACAAUGGGGGGUACAAAGGGUUGCUACCUGGCGACAGGAUGCUAAUCUCAAAAACCUCUCUCAGUUCGGAUCGGAGUCUGCAACUCGACUCCGUGAAGCUGGAUUCGCUAGUAAUCGCGCAUCAGCCAUGGCGCGGUGAAUACGUUCCCGGGCCUUGUACACACCGCCCGUCAAGCCAUGAAAGCCGGGGGUACCUGAAGUACGUAACCGUUAAGGAGCGUCCUAGGGUAAAACUGGUGAUUGGGGC
rnacentral:rRNA from 1 species